rnacentral:rRNA from 1 species
CAGUAGCCACGGGAAUACGGAGGGUGCAAGCGUUAUCCGGAUUUAUUGGGUUUAAAGGGUCCGUAGGCGGACUUAUAAGUCAGUGGUGAAAGCCUGUCGCUUAACGAUAGAACUGCCAUUGAUACUGUAAGUCUUGAGUAUAUUUGAGGUAGCUGGAAUAAGUAGUGUAGCGGUGAAAUGCAUAGAUAUUACUUAGAACACCAAUUGCGAAGGCAGGUUACCAAGAUAUAACUGACGCUGAGGGACGAAAGCGUGGGUAGCGAACAGGAUUAGAUACCCGAGUAGUCCCUGUCUCUUAUAC